rnacentral:rRNA from 1 species
GAUGAACGCUAGCUACAGGCUUAACACAUGCAAGUCGAGGGACCGGCGCACGGGGGAGUAACACGUAUCAACCCUGCCCCUUACUCGGGGAUAGCCUUUCGAAAGCAACAUUAAUACCCUAUACAAAUGAUGGGGAUGCGUUCCAUUAGGUUGUUGGUGAGUUACCGGACCACCAAGACUUGGAUGGAUAGGGGUACUGUGAGUAAGGUCACCCACAUUGGAACUGAGACACGAUCCAUACUCCUACGAGCGGCAGCAGUGAGGCAUAUUGGUCAAUGAGCGUUAGCCUGAAACAGCCAAGUAGCGAGAAGGAUGAAGGGGUAUGGGUCGUAGACUUCUUUGAUAUAAGAAUAUGUAUUAUAUGAGUAAGGAACGGCUAACUACGUGCCAGCCGCCGCGGUAAUAC